CCACCUGACCCCAUGCCGAACUCAGAAGUGAAACGCCGUAGCGCCGAUGGUAGUGUGGGGUCUCCCCAUGCGAGAGUAGGACACUGCCAGGC
rnacentral:rRNA from 4 species